CGGAAUCAGGCAGCCAAGCCUCAGGUUCACCUUCUCCCUCACCCUCUGCGCUGCUCGUGUGGCACAGCAGAUCCUGAAGCCAGAGGAGCACGUGUACAUAAGGGUAAAGAGAUUCCUUCUGUCACACCGGUAUUUGGACCUGAGAAAGGUACCAGGUUUUCUCCAGCUUUUCUACAGUUUUGAUUUUGAG